UACCUGGUUGAUCCUGCCAGUAGUCAUAUGCUUGUCUCAACGAUUAAGCCAUGCAUGUAUUAGUAUGAACAAAUUCAGACUGUGAAACUGCGAAUGGCUCAUUAAAUCAGUUAUAGUUUGUUUGAUGGUAUCUACUACUCGGAUAACCGUAGUAAUUCUAGACCUAAAACGUGCAACAAACCCCAACUUAUGGAAGGGAUGCAUUUAUUAGAUAAAAGGUCGACGCGAGCUCUGCCCGUUGUUGCGAUGUUUCAUGAUAACUCGAUGGAUCGCACGACCAUCGUGCCGGCGACACAUCAUUCAAAUUUCUGCCCUAUCAACUUUCGAUGGUAGGAUAGUGGCAUGCCAUGGUUGUGACAGGUGACGGAGAAUUAGGGUUUGAUUCCGGAGAGGGAGCCUGAGAAACGGCUACCACAUCUAAGAAAGGCAGCAGGCGCGCAAAUUACCCAAUCCUGACACGGGGAGUUAGUCACCAUAAAUAAAUAACAAUAUCGGGCUCUAUGAAUCUGGUAAUUGGAAUGAGUACAAUCUAAAUCCCGUAACGAGGAUCCAUUGGAGGGCAAUUCUGGUGCCAACAGUCGCGGUAAUUCCAGCUCCAGUAGCAUAUAUUUAAGUUGUUGAAGUUAAAAAGCUCGUAGUUAGACUUUGGGAUGGGCCGGACGGUCCUCCCUAAAUGUGCACCGGUCGUCUCGUCCCUUCUGUCGGCGAUGCGCUCCUGGCCUUAAUUGGUCGGGUCGUGCCUCUGGCGCUGUUACUUUGAAGCAAUUAGAGUGCUCAAAGCAAGCCUACUCUCUGUAUACAUUAGCAUGGGAUACCAAUAUAGUUUUUUGGUCCUAUUCCGUUGGACUUCAGGAUCGGAGUAAUGAUUAACAGGGACAGUCGGGGGCAUUCGUAUUUCAUAGUCAGGUGAAAUUCUUGGAUUUAUGAUAGACGAACGAAUGCAAAAGCAUUUGCCAAGGAUGUUUUCAUUAAUCAAGAAUGAAAGUUGGGGGCUCGAAGACGAUUAGAUACCGUCCUACUCUCAACCAUAAACAAUGCCGACCAGGGAUCGUCGGAUGUUGCUUUUGUGACUCCGCCAGCACCUUAUGAGAAAUCAAAGUUUUUGGGUUCCUGGGAGAAUAUGGUUGCAAGGCUCAAACUUAAAGGAAUUGACGGAAGGUCACCACCAGGAGUGGAGCCUGCAACUUAAUUUGACUUAACACGGGGAAACAUAUCAGGUCCAAACAGAGUAAACAUUGACAGACUGAGUUGUUUCUUGAUUCUAUAGAUGGUGGCGCAUGGCCGUUCUUAGUUGGUGGAGCGAUUUGUCUGGUUCAUUCGCAACCAGCUUCUUAGAGGGACUACGGCCUUUUAGGCCGCGGAAGUUUGAGGCAAUGACAGGUCUGUGAUGACCUUAGAGGGACUACGACCUUUUAGGCCGUGGAAGUUUGAGGCAAUGACAGUUCUGUGCGCUACAAUGAUGUAUUCAACGAAUUUAUAGCCUUGGCCGACAGGCCCAGGUAAUCUUUGAAAAUUCAUCGUGAUGAGGAUAGAUCAUUGCAAUUGUUGGUCUUCAACGAGGAAUUCCAAGUAAGCGCGAGUCAUCAGCUCGCGUUGACUACGGCCCAGCGCUUUGGACACAUCGCCCGUCGCUCUUACCGAUUGAAUGAUCCGGUGAGAUGUUCGGAUUGCGGCGAUGUGGGCGAUUUGCUACCCGCAACUUCACGAGAAGUCCAUUGAACCUUAUCAUUUAGAGGAAGGAGAAGUCGUAACAAGAUUUCCGUAGGUGAACCUGCGGAAGGAUCAUUG
rfam:Solanum tuberosum cultivar DM 1-3 516 R44 scf00451_50, whole genome shotgun sequence.